rnacentral:rRNA from 1 species
AUUGAACGCUGGCGGCAGGCCUAACACAUGCAAGUCGAGCGAGCGGCGGACGGGUGAUUAAUGCCUGGCUGUUGCCCGGUCGAGGUGGAUAACAGUUGGGAACGACUGCUAAUACCGCAUACGAUUGGAUUGCCCAGGUGGGAUUAGCUAGUUGGUGAGGUAAUGGCUCACAAAGGCGACGAUCCCUAGCUGGUCUGAGAGGAUGAUCAGCCAAACUGGGACUGAGACACGGCCCAGACUCCUACGGGAGGCAGCAGUGGGGAAUAUUGCACAAUGGGGGAAAGCCUGAUGCAGCCAUGCCGCGUGUAUGAAGAAGGCCUUCGGGUUGUAAAGCACUUUCAGCGGGGAGGCGUUACUCGCAGAAGAAGCACCGGCUAACUCCGUGCCAGCAGCCGCGGUAAUUC